GAUGAAGAACGUAGCGAAAUGCGAUAAGUAAUGUGAAUUGCAGAAUUCAGUGAAUCAUCGAAUCUCUGAACGCACAUUGCGCCCGUCAGUAUUCUGGCGGGCAUGCCUGUUCGAGCGUCAUUACGCCCCUCAAGUCCCCUGUGGACUUGGUGUUGGGGAUCGGCGAGGCUGGUUUUCCAGCACAGCCGUCCCUUAAAUUAAUUGGCGGUCUCGCCGUGGCCCUCCUCUGCGCAGUAGUAAAACACUCGCAACAGGAGCCCGGCGCGGUCCACUGCCGUAAAACCCCCCAACUUUUUAUAGUUGACCUCGAAUCAGGUAGGACUACCCGCUGAACUUAAGCAUAUCAAUAAGCGGAGGA
rnacentral:misc_RNA from 1 species